UUAGGAGGAGGAAGAGACGUCGCUUACGCUGUCUCUUCUCCCCCGUUCAUGGCCAAUUCCCUCCUCCUGAAACAAGCACUUGAUCUCUUCUCUCCCGUCCAUGGCCAAUUCCCUCCUCUUGAUGCCGAAGCGUUGGAGCAGCCCCUGCUGCCAUUAGCCCCUGCUGCCAUUAAGGCGACAAAACCUUUGAAGAAAGGUAAGAGAGAGCCUGAGGAUGAUUUGGAUACCAAAGUGAACCUUACAUCAACUGCAGAAGAAAGACUUGGUAGCUGCUGUUCAAAAGGAAAAAGCUGAGAAGAAGGUGCCCAAGAAGGUGGAGAGCUCUGAUGAGUCUGAUUCCUCUGACUCUGAGGAAGAGGAGAAGUGCCAAACAAUUAGGACCGAUCUUGAAGCUCUUUGAUGCCGUUGGCGAGGGCAAGCCUUCCCCGCUUCUCCAUUGCUUUUAUGAUGGAACUUGGAGCACCGUCAAGCGCAGCUUCACUGUUGUCCAUGACUUUAAAGAUGUGUGCUUUCACUCCUACUUCUCACUUAUGGAUGAGAUUAGAAAAUGCCCGGAUCAGAACUAUCAUGAGAUAAGGUAUAUGAAUAAGCUCAUUCUUUCAGUUCCUUUUCCACAUAGAAACCAAGAGCUACUAGUUAGUUCAAUAUCAUUGAUCAAUUUGAAGUUUUUUGAUUGUGCAUUGUGGUAAAGUUUGUUGUAAUGAAAGUGUUUUAUAAUUUUUUUUAAGAACCCAUAACUAAGAGACUUGCAAUAAACCACUUAAAU